rnacentral:rRNA from 1 species
GCCUAACACAUGCAAGUCGAACGGAAACGACAGGAGCUUGCUCCUGGGCGUCGAGUGGCGGACGGGUGAGUAAUGCAUAGGAAUCUGCCCAUGUAGUGGGGGACAACCUGGGGAAACUCAGGCUAAUACCGCAUGAGCCCUUCGGGGGAAAGCAGGGGAUCUUCGGACCUUGCGCUAUUGGAUGAGCCUAUGUCUGAUUAGCUUGUUGGUGGGGUAACGGCCUACCAAGGCGACGAUCAGUAGCUGGUCUGAGAGGACGAUCAGCCACACUGGGACUGAGACACGGCCCAGACUCCUACGGGAGGCAGCAGUGGGGAAUAUUGGACAAUGGGCGCAAGCCUGAUCCAGCAAUGCCGCGUGUGUGAAGAAGGCCUGCGGGUUGUAAAGCACUUUCAGUGGGGAGGAAAAGCUCAAGGUUAAUACCCUUGAGUCUUGACGUUAUCCACAGAAGAAGCACCGGCUAACUCUGUGCCAGCAGCCGCGGUAAUACAGAGGGUGCAAGCGUUAAUCGGAAUUACUGGGCGUAAAGCGCGCGUAGGCGGUUUGUUAAGUCGGAUGUGAAAGCCCCGGGCUCAACCUGGGAACUGCAUUCGAUACUGGCAGGCUAGAGUAUGGUAGAGGGAAGUGGAAUUCCGGGUGUAGCGGUGAAAUGCGUAGAUAUCCGGAGGAACAUCAGUGGCGAAGGCGGCUUCCUGGACCAAUACUGACGCUGAGGUGCGAAAGC